GCUGUGUUGGUGAAGUUGGUCAACACACACGGUUGUGGCCCGUGCACGCGUGGGUUCGAGUCCCACACACGGCC
rnacentral:tRNA from 2 species